AAACAUAUAUCACAAUCGCGCGGAAACCGGAGAUAAGGGAACUCCGAGUGUCCGUAAAAGGGACUCCGUCUGUUUAAAAAGCAGGCGAAGAAAGGGCCGGGCAAGACCGGUGCCAGCCGCCGCGGUAAUACCGGCGGCUCGAGUGGUGAUCGUGAUUAUUGGGUCUAAAGGGUCCGUAGCCGGUUUGGUCAGUCCUCCGGGAAAUCUGACGGCUCAACCGUCAGGCUUUCGGGGGAUACUGCCAGGCUUGGAACCGGGAGAGGUAAGAGGUACUACAGGGGUAGGAGUGAAAUCUUGUAAUCCCUGUGGGACCCCCUGUGGCGAAGGGGUCUUACCAGAACGGGUUCGACGGUGAGGGACGAAAGCUGGGGGCACGAACCGGUUAAAUACCCGGGUAGUCCCAGCCGAAAACAAUGCUCGCUAGGUGUCAGGCAUGGCGCGCCCGUUUCUGGUGCCGCAGGGAAGCCGUGAAGCGAGCCACUUGGGAAGUACGGCCGCAGGGUUGAAACUUAAAGAAAUUGGGGGGGAAAAGGGCGAAUUCUUUUAAACCUGCGGGACUAGUCCUUUUAGUGGGGGUUAUUUCUGAGCUUGGCGUAAUCAUGGUCAUAGCUGUUUUCCGGA
rnacentral:rRNA from 1 species